UACAAACUUACUAAUACUAAUUUAAAAAAAGUAAUUUAUAUAUGUACUUAUUAUGCUAAUACCUGCUUACUUAUUGCAUUUAUUAAACUAAAAUUACUGUAAAAAAUGUGUAUAAAUAAUUAUAUGUCUAAAGUUUUUGUUUCGUGUUUAUAUCUACAUGUGUCAGAAUCACUUAAUACAAGACCUUGAGAGUAGAUGUUAUAAAACGCAGAUCAUUUAUAAUUUAUCUAAUUAUUAGCAAGUAUACGAAACAGAGAACAUGUUAUUUUAUGUACUUAGUAUAUUCAGCAUUGCGAUCUUUGGAUUAUCAAGUGGAGAAUCUGAGUUUCCUUUAUCUUCUUGCAAGCAAGAUUCAGAUGAUUAUCAUGUCUGUUUAAAACAAGCUUUAGAAACGGCAUGGCCACAAGUUGUUAAAGGACUUCCAAAAUUUGGCCUUCCACCUUUGGAUCCAUUAUUUUAUAGAAAUGGUAAAAUUGUAUAUAAUGCUGAUAAGUUACAAGCAGAAGUAAUUUUUUCAAAUUUUACUUGCUUUGGUUUGUCAAAGACCAGUUUUAGUGCUUUAAAGACGCACUUUCUUCCUAAUAAUAUUUUCCGUUUGGAAAUUGACACACAAAUACCAAAACUGUUUGCAGAGAAUCUCUUAAAAAUAAAUGGUUCUCUAAGUGUAUUUAGAAUUGUUGGUGAAGGUUACAUGAAUGCAACUAUCAAUAAUAUCAAAGCAACAUGUGGUUUAAAAGGACAUAUAAUAAACGAUACAUUUUUAGUAGAAUAUUUCCGUAUCAUGCCAUCACUUGAAGCACUCAAAGUGUAUUUUGAUUUAUUUCAAGACAAACAACUUACCUUUAGAACAAAAAUUAUAUAAGAUUCAACAUCCAAUCGAUUCAUAACCAAUCGAAUUAUUCCCACGACUAUUAAAUAAAGAGGAACAUAUUAUUUUAUGUAAUUAGUAUAUUCAGCAUUGGAGCAUUUGGAUUAUCCGUAACUGGAAAAUAAAUGCAUCCUGUAACAUAUUAUACCUGCAAGCAUUAAUCAGCUAGCUGAUUAUUCCGCCUACUUAAAACAUGUUUUAGAGGAAAUAUGGAACAAUUUAUUAAAGGACUUCCAGAAUUUGACUUCCACCUUUGGAUCUAUUAUUUCACAAAAAGGGUAAUUCUACAAAUCGAAUAACGGCAGUGACCGUCGAAAUUUUCUUAACGACAGCGAUCCACAUUCCAGUUCUUUAUUUCAUAAAUUUUCCCAUUGGUGGAUAGGCGAUGAAACAUUUCAUCGGUCAACAUCACCGAGCCAGGAGCAAG